rnacentral:rRNA from 1 species
AUUGAACGCUGGCGGCAUGCCUAACACAUGCAAGUCGAACGGUAACAGGCCUUCGGGCGCUGACGAGUGGCGGACGGGUGAGUAACGCGUAGGAAUCUGCCCAAUAGUGGGGGACAACUCUCCGAAAGGAGAGCUAAUACCGCAUACGCCCUGAGGGGGAAAGUGGGGGACCGAGAGGCCUCACGCUAUUGGAUGAGCCUACGUCGGAUUAGCUAGUUGGUAGGGUAAAGGCCUACCAAGGCGACGAUCCGUAGCUGGUCUGAGAGGACGACCAGCCACACUGGGACUGAGACACGGCCCAGACUCCUACGGGAGGCAGCAGUGGGGAAUACUGGACAAUGGGCGGAAGCCUGAUCCAGCAAUGCCGCGUGUGUGAAGAAGGCCUGCGGGUUGUAAAGCACUUUAAGCAGGAAAGAAGGCCUAAGGGAUAAUACCCCUUAGGAUUGACGUUACCUGCAGAAUAAGCACCGGCUAACUCCGUGCCAGCCGCCGCGGUAAAAC